GUGUCACAUACCAUAUGGAAGACUAGUGAUUUUGUUGUUGUCACCUGUUCCAAACAAAAAAUCACAGUCUGCCAUUAUGGUGUUUG